GCGGCCGUAGCUCAGUUGGCAGAGCGUUGGGACGGUACCCCAAGGUCCCAGGUUUAAGUUCCGGCGGUCGCU